AGGGAAUCUUCCACAAUGGACGAAAGUCUGAUGGAGCAACGCCGCGUGAGUGAUGAAGGUUUUCGGAUCGUAAAACUCUGUUGUAAGGGAAGAACCAGUACGUCAGGCAAUGGACGUACCUUGACGGUACCUUAUUAGAAAGCCACGGCUAACUACGUGCCAGCAGCCGCGGUAAUACGUAGGUGGCAAGCGUUGUCCGGAAUUAUUGGGCGUAAAGCGCGCGCAGGCGGUCAUUUAAGUCUGGUGUUUAAUCCUGGGGCUCAACCCCGGGUCGCACUGGAAACUGGGUGGCUUGAGUACAGAAGAGGAGAGUGGAAUUCCACGUGUAGCGGUGAAAUGCGUAGAUAUGUGGAGGAACACCAGUGGCGAAGGCGACUCUCUGGGCUGUAACUGACGCUGAGGCGCGAAAGCGUGGGGAGCAAACA
rnacentral:rRNA from 1 species